rnacentral:rRNA from 1 species
UACGGGGGGGGCAAGCGUUGUUCGGUAUUACUGGGCGUAAAGGGCUCGUAGGCGGCCAACUAAGUCAGACGUGAAAUCCCUCGGCUUAACCGGGGAACUGCGUCUGAUACUGGAUGGCUUGAGUUUGGGAGAGGGAUGCGGAAUUCCAGGUGUAGCGGUGAAAUGCGUAGAUAUCUGGAGGAACACCGGUGGCGAAGGCGGCAUCCUGGACCAACACUGACGCUGAGGAGCGAAAGCCAGGGGAGCAAACGGG